rnacentral:rRNA from 1 species
GACGAACGCUGGCGGCGUGCUUAACACAUGCAAGUCGAACGGAAAGACCCUGCUUUCGUGCGGUGCCCGAGUGGCGAACGGGUGCGUAACACGUGUGUAACGUACCCUUGUCUUUGGGAUAACUUCAGGAAGCUGGGGUUAAUACCGUACAGGAUCUCCUGCUGCGUGGAGGGCGUUGGAAAGUUUCGGCGGUCGGGGAUGGACUGGCGGCUUACCAGCUAGUUGGUUGGGUAGUGGCUUACCCAGGCUUUGACGGAUAGCCGGCCUGAGAGGGUGACCGGCGACAUUGGGACUGAGAUACGGACCAGACUGCUACGGGAGGCAGCAGGGGGGAGUAUGGCACAGUGGGCGGGAGCCUGAGGCAGAGGCGCCGCGGGCGGAAAGACGGCCUUCGGGUUGUAAACCGCAUUCGCCUGUGACGAAGCGGGAGUGACGGUAAUGAGUAAAGAAGCACCGGCUAACUACGUG